rnacentral:misc_RNA from 1 species
GAUAGAUUUUACAAAAGGCACCAACAUUCAUGCCAAGCAUGUUUUGCACCUACAACUGAACUGACUUGAAAUGAAAAUUUAAACCGAAACAUAAAAUGCUGAAUUUGUCAAACAUGAACCAGGCUACCAGCUCCUCUCCAGUUGCCUCCUGAAACAGCUAGCAAUCUGGCAUAGAGCUAUCUGAAACCGCUAGCAAUCUGGCAUAGAGCUAUCUGAAACCGCUAGCAAUCUGGCAUAGAGCUAUCUUAUGGCAAAGAAUAAUACAAGACUGGCCAUUCCAGGGGUACAAACUAUGAGAACAUUCGAAGGAAGUUGUUGGCAUAUGCCAUGGGCUUAACGUCAGGAUGAGGCACUGCUGAGAACGUAACAAUAUUUGGUUUCAACUCGGGGGCUUCAAAUUGCAUAAAAGCACCCUUAUUACCCAUCUGAUCGCAAUAAUUUGGGGCAGAGAAAACAGUAAUAAGUUUCCCAUCAUGCUCAAUCUCAUAGCCUUCAUCCUUUACUUCGUGAGAUCGUACAACUAAAUCUAGAUUAUUUUCCAGCAAAAAUUUUUCGGUCACAUCCACACCAAAAGAAAGGCCAACACCCCUCUUGCUAGGACCUCUUCCUGGGUAAGGUUGUGGAUCACUCCACAGCAAUUCACACAUCAACCCUUCCUCAGGGGGCUCACAAAACCGAUCAAUGGCUCUAAUGUCAGAUAGCUUCACCCCAUCAACACUAAAAAG